rnacentral:rRNA from 1 species
UGGGGAAUAUUGCACAAUGGGCGCAAGCCUGAUGCAGCCAUGCCGCGUGUAUGAAGAAGGCCUUCGGGUUGUAAAGUACUUUCAGUCGGGAGGAAGGUGGUAAGGUUAAUAACCUUAUCAAUUGACGUUACCGACAGAAGAAGCACCGGCUAACUACGUGCCAGCAGCCGCGGUAAUACGUAGGUGGCAAGCGUUGUCCGGAUUUAUUGGGCGUAAAGCGAGCACAGGCGGUUUCUUAAGUCUGAUGUGAAAGCCCCCGGCUCAACCGGGGAGGGUCAUUGGAAACUGGGAGACUUGAGUGCAGAAGAGGAGAGUGGAAUUCCAUGUGUAGCGGUGAAAUGCGUAGAUAUAUGGAGGAACACCAGUGGCGAAGGCGGCUCUCUGGUCUGUAACUGACGCUGAGGCUCGAAAGCGUGGGGAGCAAACAGG